UUUGAGAGUUGAGAUUGACGUAACUUUGGGAUCGACAAAAAUAUUUUUUUGAGCCUCCAGAGUGACAUGAGGCCUUGAUGAAUCACUUGAAUUUGUUGAAAAGCAGUCAGGAGCUCAUUCAAUACAACAAGCAGUGAACUGGCUGAACCUGCAGUGCCUUCUUUCCUCUGAUGGUUUCAAGACCCUUUUCUGUGACUAUAGGGGUCCAAGAUGCUUGGUUUCACUGACAGCUUUAUGUAAGGUCAAGCCUCAACUUUUGAGGUAUUUUCAGGGGGCUGUGAGGCAGACCAGUCUGUGCUCAUGCUGUAUUAACCUGCAUUUAUUUACUCCUCAGUACAGAAGUCACCUUUUUACUCUUUCCUGUAAGGAAGUUUGAGCUCAUUUUGUCAUUCCUGCUUUUGUUGAUCUGUCUGCAGCUGUGUCAUCUUCAGUGAAGUUGUGUCUCCUGAUUCUAAACUGAUGUUUGAUUAAUUUGAAGGUUCCGCGUCUUGUCCAAUGAGAUUGGACACGCAGACUGAGUCAGAUACCAGUCUUUGAGUUAACUACACUCUCAUCACAGCCAACAUGUUGAGCAAAAAUAAUAAGUGGAGGAGGGGCUCCAGAUCUUUCCAUCAGUGUUUACAUCAAGUUUUCUGGGGACCAAGGUCACCUGUUGCUAUGGAUACCAUUCAGCCAUUAUAAUCAUAACCGUAACAGAGUGGAUCUGACACAAGGCAGCUACUGUGAAGUGACUCUUGUAUAUAUCUUGUGAGACAUAUUCUAUAAGAGUAAGUCUCAGUUGUGGUUGUAAAGUUGUUGACAAAAGCGGAUCACUGAGUAAACUUCUGUAGUUGUCUCAUCCAACACUGUGUCCUGUUUCUGUCCUCUUAAUGGAAACAGUGGUAUGAUAUAACUCACUCUGUCAGCCAGAAAUGAUCAUUACUGCUUAUUUGUCUUCACACCAAUUACACUGUGACAAAAAAAAAACAUAAAUAAUCUCUGAAUGUGUCCACAAGAUCCAUUAGUAGGCAUGAAGGAUGUGCAACUUUUUUGUAUCUUAUAGAGAUAAUUGGAUGCCAAAGGAUUCAGUACCAGAGAGACUGGUUAAUGUUAGUAAAUGAAAACAUGCAUUUAAGUGAUUGUUCCAUAGAUUCAGUGUCACACAGUAGCCAUGUUUACAUGUCAUCACCCUAUUAAAAUAAUGGCCUAAGUCAUUUUUGACGAAAAUGAGCUUUUGGCCUAAAUCAUCUCUUGAUAUUGCUGGCCAUCUCUGGUAAAAUUGCCUAAAUCCAUGAUAUGGCUGGGACCCUAUAUGUACUGUUGAUGAAGUUAGGUGCUGUUCUUAGCAUUAUUUGUAGCUAUAGAAUGGCUUUUUGGUUGAGGUGUGUGCGUGGAGAUGUAAAUCGCUGUGUAUUGGUAUAGUGCGGCCAUUACUAAAUGGUUGGUAUAACUAGAGACGCAAGCAGUUGGCAACAUUCAUCUCUCGAGGGGUUGUCUAACUUGGUGUUAUGGUGUGUUUGACCCUGACUUAAUUUUACACUGGAAUAUCCCUUUAAUCCAUUUCAUACAGUUCGCAAUGCAAAAAGCAGCCAACUUUGUGGCU